CGGGAGGGUAACCGGGGGCGGCGGAGCCUAAGCAGUGCGGUGGCCCUUCGCUCUCGAAAGCAAAAGGAGGCACCCGCCUGCGUGCAGCAGGUUUGGGCCUUUGCAAGACAUGGAUCCUGAGGAUGCAGGAGAGAUGGCAGCUGAGUUGCAUGGACAGACUGUGGGUGGCUGGGGCCUUUUUCAGAUUGCGGCCGGUGCUGGCUUGACUGCCUAUGUUGUAUGGGCAGGAAUUCUCAUGCCAGGAUUCCGCAAAGUGCCUUUACGAUUACAGGUGCCAUAUGUCCCAGCAAGUGCUAAGCAAGUGGAGAAUGUUAUGUCUUUGCUGAAAGGACGCUCUGGGAAGAUGGUGGAUUUGGGGUCCGGAGAUGGCAGAAUAGUAUUAGAGGCCUACAAUCAAGGACUCAGUCCAGCUGUUGGCUAUGAACUGAAUCCGUGGCUGUUGCGACUGUCCAGCUAUUGUGCCUGGAAGGCUGGGCUUUACGGGAAGGUUUCUUUCCAUCGGGAAGAUCUUUGGAAGGUGAAUCUGUCAGACUGUAAGAAUGUAACUGUGUUUCUUGCACCUAGCGUGAUGCUGCCCCUGGAAAGCAAGCUGCUCAUGGAGCUUCCAGAUGAGGCCCGUGUGGUCACUGGGCGCUUCCCCCUCCCCACCUGGACACCCUCCAGCGUGGCAGGGGAAGGUGUGAACCAAGCCUGGGCUUAUGAUAUCCGGACUGUACGUCAGACCCAGAAGGACAAGACAGAGGGAAGCCCAGUAUGAUGGCCGGUGGACUCUGAACGUUCUUCGUAAGGCGGCCGAGCAUUCUUUCGGGCUCCUGUUAAGGCUGAACGUGCCUUUUUCCGUUGCUGACCUCAGCAGCCCUUAGAGCUCCAAGCAGGAUAAGCUUUGGCUGAGAUCCGGCUGAGAAUCAGUGAGCGGCCCAAACUCACCCAGUGAGCGCCAUGGCCAGGUGGGGACCAGAGCCCAGGUCUCCAGAGUCCAAGGCCGACUGUCAAACCGCUACGCCAUACUGACUGUUGGUAGGUAUCGUUAGACUGGGCUUAGCCCAGGUAGCCAUUGAAACCCAGGAUGGUCCUCUGCACAAAAGAAGGCACCAGGCCUAGGCUGGGGCUGCAGUCUACUUAACCGGAAGCUUGAGCUCUCCUCUCCUGUCCAGCACUGACUUUGCACGACCCGUGUUUGCGGGGGUUCAUUGCAUCCUCUUGGCCACUCCAACCUCACUCCACAUCCUCUACCAGAAGGGCCCACCAUGCAGGCCACGAAAAGGAAAGCGAUCCAGCCGGGCUCACCUUCAUCUGCAGCUCGUGAAGCUGCCCCUCCAGGCUGGCUUUGUCUUCUCGCAGGCGGUUCAGCUCCUGAGAGGUGCUUGUCAGCAGCUCGGUGUCUGUGAUGCUGAAAAUGUGCUCUGCCGGGCCCGGGUCCAUGUCGCUACUGCCCAGUGACCGGAUCUGUUCACGCUGCAUCCUGUCAAGCGACGGGGGAGGUUACUGAGCAGCCCAAGUCUUGGUGGGGACGUGGGUUCACCAGUCAGCCCGUCCACAGCAGCCACUGCCACUGCCCAUGGGGGCAUUCAGCUCGGAAGCUUCCCCCAGCCUGGUGCCUUCCAAAGGUUUUGGGGUAACCCUUUUAUUCUUGGCCACUGGCUGUUCUGGUUGGGGUGAUGGAAGCUGUACUUAAACAAUCUGUAAGGUGCCAGGAUAGAGGAGGCAGAUCUAGGGGGAGCUGUGCCAGUCCCAAACAGGCAUAGCAUUCCACAGUCCUGCACAAGGGGUGAGCAACGUUAAAAUGUGCCUUGGGGGGCAGAACCGGAGAAUCCCAGGUUCCAUUUCUUUAAAAGACUGCUUCUAGCCUAGUCAUUUGUGAAAACGACUAGGCAUUCACAGAUGGCCCAGCGAGCUUUCCAAAACCAGAGAGAAGCCCCAGGUGUUAGGCAAAAAGAGACCAGCCAGGAUCAGCCGUGCAAAUUGAAGGGAACAUAAACAAAUUUGCUUUAUGUGUAAAAUCUAUAUGUGCUUGUGUUCAUAGUUUUUCUGGAGGCAGGAUGUGGCCUUUUUUACUAUGAAAUACACACAGCCCUGGUUCACUGCCUUCUCUGACGUGGCUGUUCCCUUUUUUCAGUGUAAUUGUGUUAUUACAGCAAAAAUAGGGCAGAACCUUGCCAGCUUAAACAUCUGUAAAAAUGCACAUAUAGAAAAAACGGCUUUCAACCCCAGUUAUAGGCCUUUUGUCUGUCUAAUUUUCAUAGGGUUGGACCCUGAGAUAUUUAUUAUGGAACGGGGCCUAAUAUGAGCCACGUGAGCCUAAUAAGAUCUGCUGGGGUCCCCAUUUCUUCGGGUCCUCAGCUCUCGCCUGGAGCUCUCAUCACUUCCCUAGGGUACAGCAAGCUUUUGACCCCUGGUCAAGAGCUCAUCAGUUUAGUGGCCUCUUCAACACAUCUGGUGAAGUGGACUGUGGCCCAUAAAAACGUAAGGCCUGAUGGAUCUGUUAGCUUUCAGAGUGCCAGCCGUUGUUGCAUGGGCUAUCCCCUCUUGAGAUCCAUGCGUGAUGUAGCCCUUAUAGCAGGGUGGCCAGCGAGCAGCUCUCUGGAUGCUUUAGCUUGCAGCUCCAUCAGCCCUGCUGGCGUGGCCACUGGUGAGGGACCAUGGAAGGCCACAGGCGGCCAGCAUGCAACCUCUUCUUGUGGGCUCUCCAUUGGACAUCAGGCUGGCCCAUGUGGGGACAAGAGCACCAGACCAGAGAGGCCUGUGGUCCGAUCCAGCAGGCCUCUGCAUAUCUUCUUUGCUUCCAGAACGGCUUGCACCUCCACCCAAACCCGCUAGAAUAUAACUGCUGGUGGUACGUGAAUUGCCGCUUUCCCAGGCAGUCUCUUUCCCUACCUGUAUGCGAUCAGCAGGCCCUCGUGCUUCUUGACCAGCUUCUGCAGGCGUUUCUUGUAGCCCCGAGCAGCUCCGGCCAGCUGCUCCUCCCGAGACCUGUGGGAAGCCCGGAUGUCCUUCAGCAGGCUGUCCACGAAGUGCUUCAUGUGCGCAGGCUCCGGAGGUGCUUUGCAGGUCCCCUUGGUGUUGGCAGCUGUCUUGCUGUCGGUGUAUUCCUGGGGACACAGCCGUGGUGCUUCACUCACUCGCCCCGUUUUUUCCUGGACUGCAGACGGGACACCCUAGCCUGCCACGGGGGAUUCAUCAACUAAAGGUUCCUGUGAUCUUUAAGUACCAAAGCUGCCCACUGUGUCUCUGUCCAUGGUCUAUGCACAUUAUUUUCCAACUUCUGUUCAGGCCGUUUUUCCACACUCGGCAUCUGAUAUCUUUGGAACACAGAAAGCUGCCUUGUACCCAGUCAAAAACCUCAUGCACAGGGGCCACUCCCGGCCCAUUUGGGAUCUGAAUUAGGCCAUCCAGCGUUCCUCUUCCCCAGCUUUUCCUCCGACUACCUUUUAUUUGGUAGUUUCUCAGCUUUUGGGCAGCUUUUCUGCAAUGCUAAAAGUUUGCGGUUAGGGGUAGGGCAUUUUCUGCAACACUGGAGGUUUUGAGGAUGCAGCAGCAGGAGUCAGGUGGGAAUGUUUUGUAUAGCUUUGAAAGCUACUUUGAAAAGGUGAGGAAGAUGCCUUCAGAGGAGGAGGGGGAAGAGGGGCCAGAAAUUAUGGACCCAGAAUUAGCAUCAGCUAAGGAAGGAGGAGCAGCAUGAACUAAGGCACCAGUCAAAGAGGUUCACCGGCCAAGUGGCUUCCCCAGAAAAGGACCAUCCCAAUCGCAGGAUGGGUUUAGCACAGCUCCCUGAGCAGGAAGGCUGUAAGCAGCCUCCUUUUCCCUGGUAUGUAAGUUUUCUUUCCGUAGGCCACUUUGUCAUGGCCCACUGACAAUGCAUCUUGAGUAUUUUAUGGCUUCUCUUCGUAACUUGACCUGCUGCAGAGCCGGAAAGAAGGCUAAAUCUUUUGCAUCUUUUUUGCAUAAAUAAAAUUAGCUACUUUGAAUCCUAGUCAGUUACAGCAAAGCUCUGACCCUUGAAAUUUAAAUAGUUUCUUACCUUUGUAGCACAUGUAUAUAUCAAUAUUAGCGCCAUAACUUUAAGCUCCCAAGCCUUUCAUGCCAUGGGCCACGUUGGGUAGGCUUGAAUUUAGAAGAAGGAGCUUGUAUCCCAGACUAGCCAGUGUAAAAUAAGAAUGAAUGCCGGAAUUCUUACGAAUUCUUUCCCUCUUAAAGAGAUUAGUCAAAACAACCCUUCAAGGAGAAUGACCUAGAAAUAAACUUUCUAAGUGUUACGUGUGUUUGUGUAAAUACAAAAUUGGGGCUCUUUCUCUCUGACUGCACGUAUUAAGGACCGUAAGCUGUCCUGAGAUGCUAUAAGGGACCACAUACAAAAGUUUUAAAUAAAUAAAAUAAAUAUUAAACUCCCGCAAAAGAUCCGAGCAAAAGACUUUGAGGCAACCCAGAGUGCAAGCACCUCCUUUGAGAUGUGCUGCCCCCCCACCACCAAGAUUACCUGGCAUAACAGUUUCAUCCCAAGACUGAGUGGGCCAAAAGGCCGAGCAUUUCACAUGGCCACGCCAAAAGGCCGAGCAUAAUACCAUUGGCACAGGGGCACUUUUUUAAAAUUUAAAGCAAACUGCAUAGAUGGAUACAAACUUAUAUAGAUUUGUACAAAUUCCGCCCUCUUUGGGCUGGGUUUGGGGUUAUUUUUGCUGAAACUGCCUUUUGUUUGGUUAGGUGGGAGAACCAGUGGAAAAGAUCACUUAUCAAUGCUCACCGCCAGGUCCGUAAUGUACUGAAUGAGCCGAGAGCGGUACUCCUCGUUUAACUCCUUCAGUUGUAGCUGCAGCCGGGAAUUCUCAGCUUCCACUUCUUGGAGCUGGUUCUGAGAGGAAAGCAGUGCCUGUGGUCCAAGCAGACAAAAAGGGAACCGGGCAAUUAGCAGGCUGUGUAUCAUGGCACGUCUGCCGUUCAAGCAAAGGGCUGCGCCCGGUGGUGUAGUGGAGCCGUGGCUUGCAGGGAUGCCGGGUCCGCACUCUUAGUGGGGGCUUGGCUGAAGCCUGCCUCCCCUCUCGGGAUUCUUCGUUCCCUCUGGGCUUAUCUGCCCGCUUCACCGUGGCUGGAGGGAGACGACUUUUUACAGCAAUGCACUGUUCCUUCUUGAGCCACACGGUUUUGGUGUGGCCGAGUUUUGCAUGGGCAGUUAAGACCCAUCAGCUUGGCUAAAGACCUGCUCUUGGUGGAGAGGAAGACCAAGACCGAAUCAGCGGCCUUCCUUUUAGGACCCUCCGUGGCAGCAAGACUCUGGGGACGGUCUCUGGUAUGAGAACAGCCAAGCUUCUAGUCCGGGACUUGGCUUUUUGUGGCAGCUUGGCAAAUACCUCUGGGAAAUGUGCCACCACCCUCCUGUCCUGUUGCUCCGGAGGGCCCAAAUGGACGCCACACAUGCCGCCCAUGUUUCCGGCUUGGAGGCUGUGAGUACCACUGAUCCUGCGGCAGAAGCAGACCCCCCCGCCUACCAGUGGCUCGGCCAGCAGCCCCAGCAUUGGCAGACGGAAAAAGGCUGAGAAGCCCCCAAGAGACUAGGGUGUGCUGAGCAGUUGCGCCUCUGUGCAUGCACAGAGAUGCGUGUGCGUAUGCAUGCAUGCGUGAAAGGAAAGAAUGGGUUUCUCCCCUUUUGGGGUGGCGGGAUGCCCACUGCCGGCAUCCAGACCCUGCAGUACUGGCCAUAAGGCAGUUCAGGCCAACAAACGGUCCCAAAGCUGUUAUAAAAGGUGGCUAAAAACUCUUCUGCCAGACCAUCCUUCCUUCUUUUCUGUCCUCUGAUUGCUUUCUUCCAUUAAUCAGGAUGCUAGUCCUCAUAAUAAUGUCCUAUGUACUGAUUUGAUCUGCUGCCGCUUCAAUGUUUAUCAUCUCAUCUGGUUUAUUUCACAGGAAGCUGCUGCUUUCGGGGCCUUGAGCCUCCGAACAAAUUCUGAAUGAAUCUGUUGCAUUUACACUUCUGCCUCCCUUUGCCGGACGUCUCCCUUCCUCUUCUCUCCCGCAACCUCACUUUCCCCAUUUUUUUAACCAAGGCUUCGCCGAGGUCUCCGUACCGCCGACUGUUCCGCCAGCUUGUGCUGCGUGGUCCGAAUCGCCUUUUUGGCCUCUUGCAGCUCCUUCCCCAUGGUCACCCUGGGAACACAAGGAAGACGGUGAGCGCGCUAACCCUGCAGGGGACCAUCGGGCGGCCGGGGCCUGCAGGGGGCUCCGGAGUGGGGCAACCCGCGUCUGGCCACAUCAGCCGAUCGGAGCACGUAGAUGAGCCCCGAGAAGCCGAGACUGCUUCCCCGGAAGCUGCCUGCUCCUGCUGAGUGCAAGGAAAGGACCAGCUCUGUCGCUGACCCAGGUGGGGUCGGCUGCCAGGAGGGGCUCACGGGUGGAGCACCUUCCGGGCCAAACGUGAGUAGGACAGACUGGGUGGAUCCCCAUUCAGCUACAGAACUUACUCAGCCCAAUUCUUAGCUCCCCCCCCCCGCCCACCUCACUGGGUGGUUGUGGGGAAGGACUAGAGUGACUGUCCUAUCAAUUCGCACACCAGAGAAGGACAAGGCAAAGGGAUGUGUGUAUGCUGAGAUGAAUUAGUUACUGGCUGCAGGUGAGGCACAGCGACUCAGCAGGUUUCUAGUCCUUAAAUUGUCUGGCGAAAACUUUGAAGUCAGAAGGGUGCUCUGUAGGAAUUUUGCUCUUUAGGAUUUGGGGCUUCAUGUCUCUUUGUCCUGUCCUCAAGGCUGACUGUCAAGACCCGCGGCAGCUUCAGGGCUCCCUCUGCUGGCCAAGGGCCGGCGGAGCAGCUCUGGAGGCUGCAGGAUUCUGACCCCAGCCCACUGCAGCUGCCAGGGCGCUCAGGAGUCCCGCCUGGGGAGCCCUGGGGAAGAGCCAUACAAGAGCCAGCUCUUCCCUCAGGAGCUGCCUCGGCAAGAAAGGCCUCCCGUUGUUGGCGAAGCCCUCCCUGGUCUGCCAGACCCGGAACUCCGCUCCUGCGUCCUGCCUGUGUGCCUCGGUCCUGCUUCCAGCCUCCACCUCUGCCCUCCCCGACUGGCCUGCCUUCCCCAGUUCCCCGACCCUUGGCUCGCUCCGGACUACGCUACCCAUAGCGUAGCCUUGCCUAGUAUGUCGACCUCCGGCUUGGCCUUGGACUGUGUUCUGGACUUGCUCUUGCCACGCUCUGCCUGCCCGGGUCCCGGUGUCUUUACCCUGCUAGUCAGCUGUCCUCGCCCCAGAUGCUGACAGAUGCUGAGUAAGGGAAGGAAUCUGUUGAUGGGCAUGAGCCACUCCAGGAACAGCUCAUGGGUGGUCUUGUGAAUGCUGUUGCUUUGGGUGGUCUUGUGAAUCUCAGAAUGCGAGACACAAGAAUCCAUGCAGUUCAUCUGCAUGCGUGUACAGCACGGUGCAAUGUCUGGCUUCUCGUGACACAGAAGGCCUUCUAAGAAAGUCUGUUUUCAUUUUUUGGAAACCCACAAAUUCCAAGACUUCACAGCUGAGAUGGAAAAUGUAGAAAUACAGUGGCAAUGCCAAACCCCAGGGAAAUGUGGGCAAGCAUGCUUUGCCCUGUUUCUCUCUAGCAGCCAUUUAGAAAGGGCUACACACAUUUUCUGUACUGUGGAUUGCAAUUACAAUCCUUGUUCCUUCUUGCAUCUAGCAAGCAUGUCAAGUCGUCUUUGCUAAGCCUGCAGCUGGAUGCGGGAGCCCAUGUGGAAGUGGAGCAGGGGUUUGAGCCAGUGUCUCUGUAAGCCCUUCCAGCUGUUCUGUUCUGUUCUAUAACCCUGGGAAUGCUUUACAUCGGAGGUUCCAGUGUCAGUGAGGUGAUGUAGCCACCCUGGGUCUGAAUGUUAAAGGAGCUGUCCAUGGUGAAGAGCCAUCCCCAGGUUCAGAACCAUGACCAGCCCCUGGAAAAUUCAGGCUACUGUGCUUAGUGGAUACUCAUUCCCACUGACACCAGAACCACCCACCUCACCUGCGUGGGCACUGUAGUUCUGUGGAUGAGAAUUUGUAGCAUCCUCACAGUGCUAUUGACUCCUGAGAUGAUUCUGGCACAGCUGUUACCCUUUGGGUGCCAAAGUACCAGCAAAACCUCCACAGCCUUCCCCAACCUGGGCCGUCAAGAAGCACUGGACUGCAGCACCCAGAAUUCCCAGCCGAUGUGGCCAGGCCCAGUAGCCCGUGCCAUUUUAUGUUUUUAGUUAUUAGAGUUCUCUCCUACUUUCCCCCUACAAUGAACUCAAAGCGGCAUACAUAAUUCUCCUGCUCUCAAUCUUAUUCCCACAAUUCCUUUCAUUACCCAGGGUCUUACAUUCUCUCCUCUAGUUUCCGUUGCUGGGAGCUGUACAUGUCUUUCAUCUUUUCGAUCUCCAUGGUGAUGUGAUCUUGGUUUCCAAAUAGCUGGUAGGGAGGGGAAAAAAACCCAGAAGUUGUUGUCAGCUUGUAUGGAUAUAGCAAGCUGCUUUCAUGGAGUCAGAUGAGCCCGUGUGGCACAGUUCUUCAAGUGUCCAGCUGGGACUCCGGAGAUCCGGAUUCUAGGGCUCCACUUGAGCCUGAAACGCGAUGGGUGACUUUGGACCAAACACUGACUCAGCCUAGCCUACCUCACUGGGUGGUUGUGUAGAUAGCAUGGGAAGGAAAUUGAGGGUUAUGCUGAAGUUGGUUCCUUGCAGGAAAAAAGUGAUGUAUAAAUGUAAUGGAAAAAUAAAUGACGGUCCAUCUCACAGGGUGGGCUAACUGAGGCUAUGCAGAUGUUUUGGACAACCACUUCCACCAGUCCCAGCCAGCAUGUCCAUUGGUCAUGGAUGAUGGGAGUUGUCAUCCUCAGCAACUGGAAGCCCUUAUUCCUGGUCUACAUGGAUUGGCAGUGUCUCCCGAGGAUUUUAUUCAUCUAUUUUAUUUAUAACGUUUCUAUGCCACCCAAUUGGGCCACAGCACCUCUGGGUGGCUCACAAUUACAAGAUA